GCGCUCGUAGCUCAGUGGAUAGAGCAGGUCCCUACUAAGUUCCCGGUCGCAGGUUCGAAUCCUGUCGAGCGCUCCA
rnacentral:tRNA from 1 species